UACGUAGGGUGCAAGCGUUGUCCGGAAUUAUUGGGCGUAAAGAGCUCGUAGGCGGUCAGUCGCGUCUGCUGUGAAAACUCGGGGCUUAACUCCGGGCCUGCAGUGGGUACGGGCUGACUAGAGUGCGGUAGGGGGAGACUGGAAUUCCUGGUGUAGCGGUGAAAUGCGCAGAUAUCAGGAGGAACACCGGUGGCGAAGGCGGGACUCUGGGCCGAUACUGACGCUGAGGAGCGAAAGCGUGGGAGCAAACAGG
rnacentral:rRNA from 1 species